ACGGGUGAGUAACACNUGGGAACAUACCCAUCUCUGCGGAACAACUCCGGGAAACUGGAGCUAAUACCGCAUACGCCCUUAGGGGGAAAGAUUUAUCGGAGAUGGAUUGGCCCGCGUUGGAUUAGCUAGUUGGUGGGGUAAAGGCCUACCAAGGCGACAAUCCAUAGCUGGUCUGAGAGGAUGAUCAGCCACAUUGGGACUGAGACACGGCCCAAACUCCUACGGGAGGCAGCAGUGGGGAAUAUUGGACAAUGGGCGCAAAGCCUGAUCCAGCCAUGCCGCGUGAGUGAUGAAAGCCUUAGGCGUUGUAAAGCUCUUUCCCGGGGAA
rnacentral:rRNA from 1 species